rnacentral:rRNA from 1 species
AACGAACGCUGGCGGCAUGCCUAACACAUGCAAGUCGAACGAGACCUUCGGGCCUAGUGGCGCACGGGUGCGUAACGCGUGGGAACCUGCCCUUAGGUUCGGAAUAACUCCCCGAAAGGGGUGCUAAUACCGGAUAAUGUCUUCGGACCAAGGAGUUAUCGCCUUUGGAUGGGCGUGCGUUGGAUUAGCUGGUUGGUAGGGUAAAAGCCUACCAAGGCGACGAUGCUUAGCUGGUCUGAGAAGAUGAUCAGCCACACUGGGACUGAGACACGGCCCAGACUCCUACGGGAGGCAGCAGUGGGGAAUAUUGGACGAUGGGCGAAAGCCUGAUCCAGCAAUGCCGCGUGAGUGAGGAAGGCCUUAGUGUUGUAAAGCUCUUUUAGCCGGGAUGAUAAUGACAGUACCGGGAGAAUAAGCACCGGCUAACUCCGUG